rnacentral:pre_miRNA from 1 species
AUUGGGUUGACCAAAAGUUUGUUUGGGUUUUUCCAUAAGAUGUAAUGGAAAAACCUGAAUGAACUUUUUGGUCAACCCAGU